rnacentral:lncRNA from 1 species
UUUUGUUUCCCUCAUUAGGUGGAGUCUUUGAAUUUUUUAAAAGAUGAUGGUAAUCAGAUCUACUUGAAAAACUAAGUGAAUCGAUUCCAUUGGAGCACUGUUUUAUCAGCUGUUUAACAUUCGCCCAAUAGGGGAAGUGGUCUGAUGUGUGUUCCCCACAGGAAAUGGAAAAGCAGCUGAGCAGCGCACACCGCAGUGAACCCUCAAGUUACAACCGGAUUGACAUAAGAACAACUUGGGUUAAUUAGGUUAAUGGAAGAUUCAUCUGCCUCUUGUUUACUAGCAUGUACCCAGUGUAGCCAUUAUCAACGGCAUCAUUAUACAGCAGUGACCAAAUGCCAGAAACUCUGUUAGGAGGCUGCUUACAUAACCUCCAGUCCUCACAGCACACUGCAGGGUAAGUGCU